rnacentral:snRNA from 1 species
AAUUUUUUGUGGGUGAGGGUUCACCACAGUGGCUUGCCACUGGGCCCCUCGAGCGUCGCUCGGCCGUUGCACUACUGGCUGAGCCUGGCGCACCCCAAUU